UGGCUCAGAACGAACGCUGGCGGCAGGCCUAACACAUGCAAGUCGAGCGCAGUCCUUCGGGACCGAGCGGCGGACGGGUUAGUAACGCGUGGGAACAUACCCUUUUCUACGGAAUAGCCUCGGGAAACUGAGAGUAAUACCGUAUAAGCCCUUCGGGGGAAAGAUUUAUCGGGAAAGGAUUGGCCCGCGUUAGAUUAGAUAGUUGGUGGGGUAAUGGCCUACCAAGUCUACGAUCUAUAGCUGGUUUUAGAGGAUGAUCAGCAACACUGGGACUGAGACACGGCCCAGACUCCUACGGGAGGCAGCAGUGGGGAAUCUUAGACAAUGGGCGCAAGCCUGAUCUAGCCAUGCCGCGUGUGUGAUGAAGGUCUUAGGAUCGUAAAGCACUUUCGCCAGGGAUGAUAAUGACAGUACCUGGUAAAGAAACCCCGGCUAACUCCGUGCCAGCAGCCGCGGUAAUACGGAGGGGGUUAGCGUUGUUCGGAAUUACUGGGCGUAAAGCGUACGUAGGCGGAUCAGAAAGUUAGGGGUGAAAUCCCGAGGCUCAACCUCGGAACUGCCUCUAAAACUCCUGGUCUUGAGUUCGAGAGAGGUGAGUGGAAUUCCAAGUGUAGAGGUGAAAUUCGUAGAUAUUUGGAGGAACACCAGUGGCGAAGGCGGCUCACUGGCUCGAUACUGACGCUGAGGUACGAAAGUGUGGGGAGCAAACAGGAUUAGAUACCCUGGUAGUCCACACCGUAAACGAUGAAUGCCAGUCGUCGGGCAGUAUACUGUUCGGUGACACACCUAACGGAUUAAGCAUUCCGCCUGU
rnacentral:rRNA from 1 species